rnacentral:lncRNA from 13 species
AAGAUCUUGUCUUCUACCACUGCUUCUUGCUGAACAGGGGCCAUCAUCCCUACCUGCUCCACAGGCAUAGAAAUCUCUUGCUGUUUGAUCUAAUGAUUUAUAGGGAUUUGUUCCUUCCUGCAGUGGCACAGACUGGAACCAUUUGGCCAGCAUUGAUUCUGUCUCAAACUGCUACAGUCUGAAAGACACAAACUUUACUAAAAGAUAAAGUAGACAAGGACUUAAGAUUGGUAAUAGUAAUACAGCUCAAGGUUCUAAGAAGGGUGGAAACCAGGUAAGACCUGGGAAGGCACUUCCAAUGGUUGACCAGACCAUUGGAAUUUGGGUCAGUUCCCUGGUUAGAUCCAUGUAACCAUAUAGCUGGUUUGGAUAUUUUUUUGUAUAUUGGUUUCAACCUUUCUAGAGUUAUUGACACAAGUGCAACAAGUUUUAUUGAUAACUGGACACAGAUCCUCCCUGCUCGGCUGGAACGUGGUCUGAGCCCAGUUAGACCCUCCCUGCUCGGCUGGAAUGUGGUCUGAGCCCACGUUAGACCCUCCCUGCUCGGCUGGAACGUGGUCUGAGCCCGGGUUAGACCCUCCCUGCUCGGCUGGAACAUGGUCUGAGCCUGGUUUAUCAUUGACAACACCACCAGUCAGUCUAGGGCGGCCUGGAGACCUUGCAAGCCUUCUCUUAAUUUUGUGGUCAACUUUUCUGUAGUCUGUGUAAGGUUUUUAAAAGUUAUUUCAUGUUAGUUGCAGUCCCUCACGGAGCUGCCAUUCCUGUAGCUGCCACACUUUUGCCAGGAUUAGCCCAGUUGCUUGUAUCUAAUUUUGGAAGUGAGGUUACGGACCAUUACUCUGUUGGAGCCCAACUAUCCUACAGUGCCUUUUCCUUGGAACUGGAAGUGUCCACACCAGGAUAGGCUAAGGCCUGUAAGGAGAGUGGGAAGAUGGGGUCUGUUUUUUCCCUUGCAGGACAGUUCCGUUGACUGCCACAAAAGAAUACAUAUCUAGGGACUGUGCCUUCCUGAUGGGGGAUUGGGGGGUUGAACCAUUCAUUCAAACUAGGUUCUCAGGAGGGAAGGUUGCUGCUGCAUUGGGGUGAAAGAGGACUUCCCACUGAGCUCUGGGUCUCUGGACCCAGGGAGUGCCCUUUCUCUCUUAGGAGGUAGAUAAGAGAGCCUCCGUGUUAUAUUUUCUGUACCCGUCAGAUCUGUGCAUCAUCCCUGGGGAGAUGAUGGGGUGCCAGUUAGGUUGUAUUACCAAAUGAAAGGCAGGGUUCCAACAGGUAGUAUUGGUUUGACAUUGAGCAGGGAUUGAAUGUCACUGAGUAAAUUGAGGGUGGAUGCCAACUAUCCACAUACAUUAUAUUUGCCCAAGGACUAGUUCUACAAGGAAAACGGGGGACUGUCAAGGAUGGACCGUUAAGCAGGUAGUUCUCCUUCCAAAUAGGUUGGUUAUAGAUGUUUGUGAGAUGCACGCAUUCAAGUCUUCCUGUUGCUUCAAUUUGUAUAGUCAUAGGUGAUGGCUUUUCAACAUAGAGGUAAGAUUUAAUGUCAGAUUUGUCUUAGUGGGGACAAAUUGGAGCUUAGUUCCUCUCACCUGUGUGUGUGGCAGCAAAUCCAACAGUUAGAGAGGUUGCUCCUUGAGGUGAUAAUCAUGGAAAAAUUGAUGAGCGAGCUUUUUUUUCCCCACUGGACCCUAGUAGCAAAGAGUAU